CAAUGUGAUGUCAUGCAUGCUAUGCUAUAGUUAAUGCAUGAAAUUGAGAGGUAGCUAUAUACUAGUUUACUAAUACAACUCUCAACCCUAAACAAGUGUGUAUAGUUGCAUGGCCUUCAAUAUGACUGAUGAAAAGCACCUAACAAUUGUUAUGCUAAAAGAGAAAACGGAAGCAACAGAUACUCAGCUAGACACAGAGAUUCAAAAAAAUCAUUUACAAGAAAUUGCCCAGCAUUUCGGUAGCUGGGAAAAGUUUGUAGUCGAGUUCAAACUUUCUGAAGCAGAGAAGGCCGAUGUGAAAGUUUGUGUCAAUACCAAAGGACACACAGAUGGCAUGUUCACAGCUUUAUCCUUGUGGAUUAAGAAAAAUCCUCUAAGCACUUACAGAAACUUAUUGGAUAUACUGGUACGACUUGAAGAGGGAGAGCUAGCCUAUAAAGUUUGCAAAAUUGUAAAGAGCCGUGUUAAAGGAAAUGAUUUUGGUGGUGAGCACCGAGUUGAAUGUGGCUCAACUGGACAUGGCUCAACUAUACCUAGAUCUAGAUCUGCAAGGGGUCUAGACCGGGAACCUGAUGGAGAUUCUGAGCACCGUGUUGAAUAUGAAUAUGCCUCAACUAUACCUAGAUCUAGAGAUCUACAUCUAGGUAUAGUUGAGGCAAGGAGUCUAGACUGGGAGCAUGUUGCACUUGGAGAUUCCGAGCACCGUGUUGAAUAUGCUGAAGAUUUCCAGGUUCGGACAUGCACAAAUCCUGGGUGUUCGUGGUCAGGAGAAUGGAGGUCCCUGGCUGGUCAUCUGGCCGAAUGCGAGCACCAGCCUGUGGCCUGCAAGUAUGCUGAAUAUGGGUGCAUAGAGAAAAGAAAAAGAAAAGAAAUUCUAGAGCACGAGGAAAAUGCCCAGUUGCAUAUUGGAACAACAAUCAUAGCUUUCGACAAGCUAACAAAAAAAUGGCCACUUUUGAAAGCGAACGGGCUUAUAUGAAUGCCAGGCUGCUAAAACCAAGCAAUGUAAUCACCCACACUUUCAAAAUGACCGCGUUUACUCAGCACCGAGAUAACAGCGACAUCUUUUAUGGUCCUCCAUUCUACACAUCUGCUAAGGGCAACAAAGUGUGUGCUCGUGUACAUGCAUAUGGCAAGGAUAAUACAAAUGGACGUGGAACGCAUAUCUCAGUGGAAAUGUGCUUGAUGAAGGGUGAAAACGACGAUUACCUUACUUGGCCAUUCACUGGGACUGUUACAUUCGAGCUGCUCAACCAACUGAAGGAUCGUGGCCACCACAAAGGGACUUUCACAUUCCCGCAAAACCAUCCUGCCAGCCAACGUGUUGUAGAUGACGAGAUAGCAGAAGUUGGCUUUGGAAUUGAUCAGUUUAUUGGGAACACUGAAACUGAGCUCGGCUUAGUGGAAUAUCUCUUGAGUGCCAACCCUGAAUUCCUCAGAAAUGACACUCUCAUCUUUCGAGUUUCUGUCCAAGUUCCUUCCUAUAGUCCUUGGUUGGAAUGCACUUUGUAACAAUGGUAGUUUUGUUGUACAUAGGCUGAACAACAUAAUUAUAUACAUCAGUACACUAUUUGACUUGUAUAGCUAUAGUAGUUGUGUGUGACUCCUGAUAUCCGAAGCCUUUUGGAAACUUACAAUCUCCUUGUGUACUUGUGAUCAGAUAUUAUAGCGUUCAUAGUUUUAGUUUGGCUACAAGCAUAUGAAUUUUUAAUGAGCAGUAUAAUUAUAAUCAACAAGUUUGUAUGAACAAUAUUUGCAUGAACAAUAAUUAUACAAUUGAAG